AGGGUAAACGGAAAAGACCCGAAAUUUCCGAAGAGGGAGAUUCACGUCUUCUCGCGGGUUCGACGCAUCCAUUCCUCUUCGACGACCCUGCCCCCGUCCGGACUCGUUCGGUGCGUGGUGGUCGGGUUGCAGAGGGUGGUGUGGAGGCCUGCGGCGGACCGCACUUCUCCCUUAGUAGGACGUCGUGACCCGUCCGGUCAUGGUCAUAAGAGUGCGGGGUGGAGCCUGUCCGAUCGUGUUCGCACGUCUUCGGGCAGACCCCCGUACUCCGGCCAUGAAUUUCGGUCGGUAUCGAAUGACAGUGUUAGGUCACUUGCCGGCUGGAGGAAACUCUUGCCAGUGAGUGCGUGUGGCUCUCGACAAGGUGCCGGGAUGUUGAGUCAAGGCGGGCUCCCGUCCGUCCGGCUCCGCUCGGCCCUGUUGGUCUUGUUGCUCUCACGCUGGCCAAUUCUAUACGACACUCGUCUACGGCGAAUCAGUUUUGGGCUCUUGUCCGACCCGUCUUGAAACACGGACCAAGGAGUUCAGCGUGUACGCGAGUCAUUGGGUGAAAAAACCCAAAGGCGUAAUGAAAGUGAAGGGAACUUUACGUUUCUGAGGGAGGAUGAGUCGGUUACCCGCAAGGGGCUGCUCCGCACUCCCGGGGCGUCUCUUUCUCAUUGCGAGUGGAGGCGCACCCAGAGCGUACACGCUGAUACCCGAAAGAUGGUGAACUAUGCCUGGCCAGGACGAAGCCAGGGGAAACCCUGGUGGAGGUCCGCAGCGAUUCUGACGUGCAAAUCGAUCGUCGGAGCUGGGUAUAGGGGCGAAAGACCAAUCGAACCAUCUAGUAGCUGGUUCCCUCCGAAGUUUCCCUCAGGAUAGCUUGCGCUCACGUGAAAGAGUCUCAUCCGGUAGAGCGAAUGAUUAGAGGCCUUGGGGUCGAAACGACCUCAACCUAUUCUCAAACUCCAAAUAGAUGAGGAAACUCCGGCUUUCUUGAACUUUGUUUUUGAAGCCGGGGGCUCGGAUCAGAGUGCCAAGUGGGCCAAUUUUGGUAAGCAGAAGUGCG
rnacentral:rRNA from 1 species